CCCUUCACGUACCCACUGUGUUAGUUCUGGGAUGACUAAAAUCAACUGGGUCAUCAUGAGUGAAGUCUUGAGCCACUGAGCCACUACCACCUUGUGCCAAAUACUAUCUGUGCCCUGCCUGCCAACCAGGAUGACAACCCUUCACCUGCCAGGUGUUGAUUCAAGCAAUAGGGAAACAAGUUAAAUGACACCAGGUGAAAGCAACCAGACAAACCCAGAAGGUGGACCAAUCUGUAGGACAACUGGACUGGUCUUUUUAAAAAGACACUAACAUAAAAGGCAGACUGUGCUAGCCUUUCAAGUAUAUGUCAGAAUACCCUAAGAGCCUUUGAGAGCCUGUGUUCCAGGUCAGGAGUCAGAGAUGGAGGUUACAGAGACAUGGAAGAACUCAG
rnacentral:lncRNA from 1 species